CCAUGUGUGGCAUAGCGGUUUGAGUGUCAGACUAGGACUCUGGAGACCAGGGUUCAAAUCCAAACUCUGCCGUGGA